rnacentral:rRNA from 1 species
ACACUCCUACGGGAGGCAGCAGUGGGGAAUAUUGGACAAUGGGCGCAAGCCUGAUCCAGCCAUGCCGCGUGAGUGAUGAAGGCCCUAGGGUUGUAAAGCUCUUUCACCGGAGAAGAUAAUGACGGUAUCCGGAGAAGAAGCCCCGGCUAACUUCGUGCCAGCAGCCGCGGUAAUACGAAGGGGGCUAGCGUUGUUCGGAAUUACUGGGCGUAAAGCGCACGUAGGCGGAUCGAUCAGUCAGGGGUGAAAUCCCAGGGCUCAACCCUGGAACUGCCUUUGAUACUGUCGAUCUGGAGUAUGGUAGAGGUGAGUGGAAUUCCGAGUGUAGAGGUGAAAUUCGUAGAUAUUCGGAGGAACACCAGUGGCGAAGGCGGCUCACUGGUCCAUUACUGACGCUGAGGUGCGAAAGCGUGGGGAGCAAACAGGAUUAGAAACCCCAGUAGUCCCAUGAU